GUAAGACAGUACUGUGUCUGUUAGAGGGCUGUAAGACAGUACUGUGUCUGUUAGAGGGCUGUAAGACAGUACUGUAUCUAUUAGAGGGCUGUAAGACAGUACUGUGUCUGUUAGAGGGCUGUAAGACAGUACUCUGUCUGUUAGAGGGCUGUAAGACAGUACUGUAUCUGUUAGAGGGCUGUAAGACAGUACUGUGUCUGUUAGAGGGCUGUAAGACAGUACUCUGUCUGUUAGAGGGCUGUAAGACAGUACUGUGUCUGUUAGAGGGCUGUAAGACAGUACUGUAUCUAUUAGAGGGCUGUAAGACAGUACUCUGUCUGUUAGAGGGCUGUAAGACAGUACUGUAUCUAUUAGAGGGCUGUAAGACAGUACUGUGUCUGUUAGAGGGCUGUAAGACAGUACUCUGUCUGUUAGAGGGCUGUAAGACAGUACUCUGUCUGUUAGAGGGCUGUAAGACAGUACUGUAUCUGUUAGAGGGCUGUAAAAUGCAAGUGGCCUUCAAAGACGACCUUCAAGGAAACAAGGGCCCUACCACAGAGC
rnacentral:lncRNA from 1 species